AGAGUUUGAUCCUGGCUCAGGACGAACGCUGGCGGCGUGCUUAACACAUGCAAGUCGAACGGUUGUAUUGCGCUUGCGCGGUACUCGAGUGGCGAACGGGUGAGUAACACGUGAGUAAUCUGCCCUGCACUUUGGGAUAAGCGUGGGAAACUGCGCCUAAUACCGGAUAGGACUACGGCCUGCAUGGGUUGUGGUGGAAAGUUCUUGCGGUGAGGGAUGGGCUCGCGGCCUAUCAGCUAGUUGGUGGGGUAACGGCUCACCAAGGCGACGACGGGUAGCCGGCCUGAGAGGGCGACCGGCCACACUGGGACUGAGAUACGGCCCAGACUCCUACGGGAGGCAGCAGUGGGGAAUAUUGCACAAUGGGCGAAAGCCUGAUGCAGCAACGCCGCGUGCGGGAUGACGGCCUUCGGGUUGUAAACCGCUUUCAGUUCGGACGAAGCGUAAGUGACGGUACGAAUAGAAGAAG
rnacentral:rRNA from 1 species